rfam:Micromonas pusilla CCMP1545 chloroplast, partial genome.
GGGUCGAUGCCCGAGUGGUUAAUGGGGGCGGACUGUAAAUCCGCUGGCUUGCCUACACUGGUUCAAAUCCAGUUCGGCCCA